GGGCUCGUAGUUCAGUGGGAGAACACUUGGUUUGCAACCAGGGGGUCGCCGGUUCGAAUCCGGCCGGGUCCA
rnacentral:tRNA from 1 species